rnacentral:tRNA from 1 species
GUGGAUAUAGGCUAGUUGGUCAGUCACUCCGUUUGGGGCGGAGGUCACGCAGGUUCGACUCCUGCUAUCCGCA